GACAGAGGUGCCAAGCGUUAGGCGGAAUCACUGGGCUUAAAGCGUGUGUAGGCGGACUCGUAAGUACCUUGUGAAAUCCCACGGCUCAACCGUGGAACUGCUUGGUAUACUGCUUGUCUUGAGCCACUUAGGGGCUGUCGGAACAAACGGUGUAGCGGUGAAAUGCGCAGAUAUCAGGAGGAACACCAAUGGCGAAGGCAGCUCGCUGGAACGGUACUGACGCUGAGGCGCGAAAGCGUGGGGAGCGAACAGG
rnacentral:rRNA from 1 species